AAUAGAUACCCAGGUAGUCCUAGCCGUAAACGUUGGGUGCUAGGUGUGGGCGGAUAUCGACCCCGUCCGUGCCGAAGCUAACGCAUUAAGCACCCCGCCUGGGGAGUACGGCCGCAAGGCUAAAACUCAAAGGAAUUGACGGGGCCCCGCACAAGCGGCGGAGCAUGCUGCUUAAUUCGAUGCAACGCGAAGAACCUUACCUGGGUUUGACAUGCAGGGUGAAACCCGUGAAAGCGGGCGCUCUUCGGAGCCUGCACAGGUGGUGCAUGGCUGUCGUCAGCUCGUGCCGUGAGGUGUUGCCUUAAGUGGCGCAACGAGCGCAACCCCUGUCCUUAGUUGCCAGCGGGUCAUGCCGGGAACUCUAGGGAGACUGCCGGUGCCAAACCGGAGGAAGGUGGGGAUGACGUCAAGUCAGCAUGCCCCUUAUACCCAGGGCUGCAAGCAUGCUACAAUGCGCGAUACAAUGGGCUGCGAUCCCGUAAGGGGAGCGAAUCCCAAAAAGUCGCGCUCAGUUCGGAUCGAGGUCUG
rnacentral:rRNA from 1 species